rnacentral:siRNA from 1 species
CAGACCUGGUAAAAAUGGUGUCUU